rnacentral:rRNA from 1 species
AUUGAACGCUGGCGGCAUGCCUUACACAUGCAAGUCGAACGGCAGCACGGGUGCUUUCACCUGUUGUCGAGUGGCGAACGGGUGAGUAAUACAUCGGAACAUUUCCUGUGGUUGUGGAUAGCCCUGCGAAAGCCGGAUUAAUACCGCGUACGAUCUACGGAUGAAAUCGUGGGACCUUCGGGCCUCGGGCGGUAGGGGUUGCCGAUGGCGUAUUAGCUAGUGGGGGGGGUAAAGUCCUACCAAGGGGAGUAUCAGGAGCUGGUCUGAGAGGACGACCAGCGACACUGGGGCUGGACCACGGACAAGACUACUAAGGGAGGCAGCAGUGGGGAAUUUUGGACAAUGGGCGAGAGCCUGAUCCAGCAAUGCCGAGUGUGUGACGACAGCCCUCGGGUCGUAAAGCCGUCUUGUCCGGAAAGAACCCCUUGGCCCUAAUACGGUCGGGGGAUGACGGUACCGGAAGAAUAAGCACCGGCUAACUACGUG